GACGAACGCUGGCGGCGUGCUUAACACAUGCAAGUCGAGCGGUAAGGCUCCUUUGGGGGUACACGAGCGGCGAACGGGUGAGUAACACGUGAGUAAUCUGCCCUUGGCUCUGGGAUAAGC
rnacentral:rRNA from 1 species